GCCUUCGUGAUGUAGUGGUCAGAAAACUCGACGCGUAACCGAGAGGUCCGCGGUUCGAUUCCCGGCGAAGGCG
rnacentral:tRNA from 1 species